CCUGACCAUCCUCCACCCUGAGGCCCUGGGCCCUGACCCCCCUCCACUCUGAGGCCCUGGUCCCCGGCCUGGCUGGGCCCCCGAGCAGUGAGCAGGGCAGCAGGGCGGAGUGAGCAGGUUCCCCCAGGUGACCAUCAGGUGACGCCUGGUCCUGGGCACCCUGCACCCUCUGUGCUUGGCCAGUGGUCCCUCCACUCAGCUCUCCCAGGGGCCCGGGCUGACCCUGGCUGCCCUAACCAUGUCGGUGUAUGGUGCCCGAGGGCUCAGGCCAGACAAGUGUCUACCAAGGGCAGCAAACGCUGGGGCACCUGGCCCGAGGCCACAGGAAUAAGCAGCCUCCCGCAGAGCCUGGCAUGUUGGGGGUUGAGUGCUCUCAUCUCCCUGUUUAAUGAUUUCCUCAGCAAACACAUCCUCGGGAUUGCUCAAGGCUGAGGUCACUGUUCAGCUCAGCUUCCCGGGAGCCUGUGAAGACAUUUGCAAAAGGGUCCACUGAAAACAGCACGGGCUGGGCUGCCAGCAACCCGGUGGGUGGGAGGGCAACCUCCAAAAAACCCUCCGGUCAGAAAACAAAAUGGCAAAAAGACGUCUCCUCUGGGGGCCCGGUCCAUAACAGAUGCGCCUUUGAAAUCCUGGGCCAGGCGUCUGUCCAGAGCAGUGAAUUCUCCAAGGGAAGGCGGGGUUAGGAUGCUGCACCCAUCCCUGGUGGAAUUCCAGGUGGAGCUGGGAAGAGCAUUGCUCCCACCCACAAGAAAAAAGCUACAACUGCAUGUCAACAGCGCGUGAUCCGUCCAGGAGCCCGGAACCAACCUGGAAGAGGCGGGUUCCUCUGCGGGUGGGACCCUGGGCAGGUGCCCGGCCAGAUCACCGUGUCAGCUGGAGGUGAAGCCCCAGGGCCAGGCAGAGACAAGCACAAGUGCGGCUGGAGCAGCCUGAGGGUCGCCGUGGCCACAGCAGACAUCAAACCAGGGGACUCCUGCAGGGCUGGGCUCAGCCCCAUGGUAAAGGCAGGCAGAGGAUGGGGGCUGUUAGGGGCUGAGCGGUGUCCCCCAAAUCCAUGCAUCAAAGCCCUAACAGCCAGGACCCCAGAAGGUGACUGUAUUUGGAGACAGCUUUUAAAGAGGUGAUUAAGGUAAAAUUCAGUCCUUAGGGCAGGCCCUGAUCCAGUCUGCCUGGGGUCCUUAUAAGGGGAGGGAGGACACAGACACACGGAGGGGUGGCCCUGCGAGGACCCAGGGAGGAGACGCCGCCCACAAGCCAAGGAGAGGCUGCGGGAGGAACCGGGCCUGCCACACGGGGACCUGGGACGUCCAGCCUCCAGGACGCAGAGAAACAACGGUCUGCUGAGGAAGCCGCCCGGCAUGCAGCAUUUGUGCUGGCAGCCCUGAGAAAACUUGAAUAGGAUGCUCCGCUGCUGGCAUGAGAGCUGUUUUCCUGCAAGGCUGGGCAACUCCUCCACCGCUGGCGGGUGGAAAAUGGGGCGGCCGCCACGUGCCUGGUUUAUCCCAGAGAGGUGAGGACCUGGGUACGCGCAAGCACACAAGCCUGUGUGGCAGUGUCCACUGUGGCAAUGCCAGGACAAUGAUGGCUGGAAAGGACCCGAAGUGCCGCCCUGGUAAUGGGGUGACAGACGGGAACAUCUGAGGCAGGAGGCGGUGCUCAGAUACUGGACCACAUUGAGGCCUAGCUAACACAGGGCAGGGGCACAGGUAGCUUUCCAUGAGGCACGCCCUCCAGUGCGCCAUGUCAGUUUACGGUUGCCACGGCAAUACCUGGGCAUUACUGCCCCUUUCCAUGGCAACUACCCGACCACCCAAGAGUUACUACUCCUUCCCUAGAAGGAGUGUCCACCUCACACAAGGACCGUACUGGGGCGGCGUCCAGAAGGAGUGUCCACCUCACACAAGGACCGUGCUGGGGCGGCGUCCAGAAGGAGUGUCCACCUCACACAAGGACCGUGCUGGGGCGGCGUCCGAGAAGUGUGGGGCUGUCUGCGGCCUUGAGGGCCUCGUGGGCACAGUGCAGACUUGGACACAGGUGGCAGGACUGGGCGCUCGGAGCUGAGGACGGGUCCAGGAGAUGCCGACACCAGCUAAGCUCCUGCUGUGAGACCCCGACCCCGGGGCGUUCAGGAACUCCACCCUUUCUGAUCGCAUCACCCUCAUGGACAGCCUGCAAGUCCAGUGACGUUGUCUCCAUUUCACAGAUGGAGAGGCUGAGGCUUGGUGCCGAGGGCUUCCCACACAUCUGGGAGUGGGAGCUGUUCUCAGGCCAAGCCACCCUGGGUCCCUGGGAACUCACUCCAUCCUGUGUGAUUCCCUGUGUGUCCCCUGCCCAGACCCCUCAGAGCCAAACUCAAAUGGCAGCUUGGCACCAACACGUUCCCAACAAAGGGAACGUCCACCAUCCCAGAACCCGCCCACUUCAUUGCCCCGCACUGCUGCACACCCAGCCCUGCAGGCGGCAGCCCCAGGAGCAACAGACACCUCCUCACACACCUCCAGGUCCCCAGCGUGGCACGCAGCCUCCAAGCACCUGACCACCGUGCCAGCUCCCGGUCCACCUGGCCCAGGCCCACUCCCCUGGGUGUUGGCAGGAGCCCCGCCUGGACUCUCACACCCCAGGCCUCCAGUCUGCACCAGCAUCUGCAAGCCCAGAUCCUUCUAUGGCCCUCCCAGCUGAGGACACACCCCAGGCCUCGCAGGGCCUGCUGGUCUCUGCCAACACCUGCAAAGCUCUCUGCGCCUCUGCCCGGCAGCCUCCUCCUUCCCGCAACUCCACCUCAGCCUCGGGACAUUUGCCCAGCGUCCCCUCUGUCAAUCCACUCUCCCCUGGGUCUCCGUGCCCCCAGUGUCACCUGAACAUCCCCUUGCUGACCUGCUGUGCAGCCAGGUCCCCACCAUAAGCACUGUCAUUACGCCA
rnacentral:lncRNA from 1 species